rnacentral:rRNA from 1 species
UACGUAGGGGGCAAGCGUUGUCCGGAUUUAUUGGGCGUAAAGGGCGCGUAGGCGGCUCGGUAAGCGUGCGGUGAAAGCCCGGGGCUCAACCCCGGGUCGGCCGUGCGAACUGCGGAGCUGGAGCACUGUAGAGGCAGGUGGAAUUCCGGGUGUAGCGGUGGAAUGCGUAGAGAUCCGGAAGAACACCGGUGGCGAAGGCGGCCUGCUGGGCAGUUGCUGACGCUGAGGCGCGACAGCGUGGGGAGCAAACAGGAUUGAGAAA